AUUUAGCACGAGCGCGUCUGAAACACUUGCUUCAGUUUCCGCUCCGGUGGACACUAACCUGUUCUCCGCAUCUUUCCCACGAGCCGCACACGAGACACUUUCCAAGGACAGCUGCACGGCAUGGAGACAUAACAGUGACCGGAAAGCGAUUUAGCUGUCGUCAUGGCGUUUCACGACAGUUUCACGACGAGAGAGUUACUCCUCAGCUUCCAUGGAUCCCUGCUGCUUUAAAGAGCCUGAGUUAAUCCUUUUACCUCCCUGCUCCACUCUCCAUCGAAUCCCUCUCCACCUCUCUGGAAACCAAUCCAAACUAAAUCCAAUUACAAGACUUAACAAAAUCAUCUUAAACUCACCUUGGUUGUUUUUCUCUUCUCUCUGGGAGAACCCCCGGCCUACCUGCACUUACCAGCUCUUCAAUCUUUGUAAUAAGAUCUGUAAAAGUGCUGCUGGCACCCGGGUCCUGCUUAUUGAGUCCAAUCCUUUGUUUAAUGUGACUGAAUGUUCUGGCCACCGGUUGGACUCUGCAGACUCAGCAGUCGUGUCCCAUCAAAGUGUCAGUCAGCUCGAACACGUCCUAACUUUGCUUGUUGAGAAGUUACAGGGAACACAUCGAGACAUGAACUCUGAAAGCCGAACCUUCACCUCGGUCCUGUGGGACCAAAGCUGGGCCCUCCGCCCCGUCACCUUCCUCCACCCAUCACUAGGGAUGGGUACCAGUAUCUGGUUCCAUCAUGGCACCGGUUCUGACAUAAACGGUAGUAACCAGACCGAAAAGCAGCGCACAUUUGGAUUCUAGCCAAUCAUUUUACCUUUGCAAGGAUAGUAGGCGGGCCCAGGUACGUACGUUCUUUUAGAGCAGAGCUACAGAUUAAAAAGGCCCAAGGCGAAGCGGUCAAAGUCUGGCUGUACUUCACAGCAAAAGAUGCAAACUCAGCAGCCUGCAACACGUGCUUUAAGGUGAUAUUGUGAUACAGUGCAAAGGAGGUAACACCACGAAUCUGAUGAAACACCUGGCGACGCAUAGCUUUUUUUAAAAUUGCAGAGAAAUGCGCCGUACUUGAUAGCUUGCUGCGAGACCUCACACCGAGCACAUCUACUGCGGGUGUGGUGCCUGUUAUCGGACCCGGAGUUAGCAACAUCCCCCAAGAACCCGAAGAGGAGAGUCCUGGCCCCUAGCCCUGCCAGUGUAGCAGGAAUGAUGAGGAUGAUGAUGCAGCAGCAGCCGUUCUUCUCUGCGUUAACAGUGACUGCCUCCGCUGCUGUCGGCCAAAUACAAAGGAACAGGAUGGAGGAUGUUCAGAGGGUUUGUGUGCCAGAAGAGGAAGCUAGGGACAGGGUGAGAUGGAGGCAGAUGAUCCACUGUGGUGACCCCUAGAGGAAGCAGGCAGAAGAAGAAGCCUGCAUGAUGAAGCAUCCUUGGGUACAAUACUGAACUUUGUGCCAACUUCCUCGAGUCUCUCGCGCUGGCCUGCCUCUCUUAUUUUGUCUCUUUGGCGUGUUGUGGUCACCUUGCCUCAGUGCAGCUCCUCCUGCCUCUCCGCCUUCCUUCAGGCACGCACCUGCCUGCAAUCAGCUCUACUGACUCACUUUCUGCUCGUCUAUGACUAGGCUAACUACUUCAAGCUUGUCACAACGUUGCACCAGCCAAGAGACGCCCUUGAUUCUGUUUGGUUUGUGUGUUUUAUGUCUUGGAUAACCUCUCUGUGUAACCUUUCUUGCUAUGAAGCCCCACUCCCAUGAGCCCUGUUUUGUGUGUGUGCGCAUGCCCUGGGAAGCCUGUGUUGCCUGACUGCCACUGCUGGAACUCAAAUGCCCCACCAUCAGCUUUGUUACUACCUUUUCACUGUGCAAAAAAAAACUUGUCAAUAAAUCUGUUGAACUCUUACAGUGCUUCACACCUAGGUGAUCAUUCUGUUAGCUCGUGACACUUUAAUGCAUCCGUGACAGAGAGUGCUUACAAGUAUAGAAAAAGGUAUCUUGAGUAACUACUAACUACCAGCCCAUUUAUCAAAACAAG
ensembl:lncRNA